CCCGGGUCCCAGUCAUCAAACGU
rnacentral:miRNA from 1 species